rnacentral:rRNA from 1 species
UCUAGAUGUGUAUAAGAGACAGCACCCGUUCCCAUCCCGAACACGGAAGUUAAGCUCUUCAGCGCCGAUGGUAGUUGGGGGCUUCCCCCUGUGAGAGUAGGACGCUGCCAGAC